UACGAAGGUCCCGAGCGUUGUUCGGAAUCACUGGGCGUAAAGGGAGCGUAGGCGGCGCGGUAAGUCGGGUGUGAAAUCUUGGAGCUUAACUCCGAAACUGCAUUCGAUACUGCCGUGCUUGAGGACUGGAGAGGAGACUGGAAUUUACGGUGUAGCGGUGAAAUGCGUAGAUAUCGUAAGGAAGACCAGUGGCGAAGGCGGGUCUCUGGACAGUUCCUGACGCUGAGGCACGAAGGUCAGGGGAGCAAACGGG
rnacentral:rRNA from 1 species